rnacentral:tRNA from 1 species
GUGAAAAUAGCUUAGUUGGUAGAGUAUAGGUUUGUGGAGCCAAAGGCCAAGAGUUCAAAUCUCUUUUUUCGCC